rnacentral:tRNA from 1 species
AAAAAUUUAGUUAAAUAAUAACAUUAGCUUGUCAAGCUGAAAUUAUUGAACUCUCAAUAGUUUUUA